rnacentral:rRNA from 1 species
UAGAUGGUUCGAUUAGUCUUUCGCCCCUAUACCCAA